AUACGUAGGUGGCAAGCGUUGUCCGGAUUUAUUGGGCGUAAAGCGAGCGCAGGCGGUCUCUUAAGUCUGAUGUGAAAGCCCCCGGCUCAACCGGGGAGGGUCAUUGGAAACUGGGAGACUUGAGUGCAGAAGAGGGGAGUGGAAUUCCAGGUGUAGCGGUGAAAUGCGUAGAUAUAUGGAGGAACACCAGUGGCGAAGGCGGCUCUCUGGUCUGUAACUGACGCUGAGGCUCGAAAGCGUGGGGAGCAAACAGGAUUAGAUACCCUGGUAGUCCACGCCGUAAACGAUGAGUGCUAAGUGUUGGAGGGUUUCCGCCCUUCAGUGCUGCAGCUAACGCAUUAAGCACUCCGCCUGGGGAGUACGGCCGCAAGGCUGAAACUCAAAGGAAUUGACGGGG
rnacentral:rRNA from 1 species